rnacentral:rRNA from 1 species
UACGAAGGAUCCAAGCGUUAUCCGGAUUUAUUGGGUUUAAAGGGUGCGUAGGCGGCUUAUUAAGUCAGAGGUGAAAGCCUGGAGCUUAACUCCAGAACUGCCUUUGAUACUGAUGAGCUUGAAUAUAGUUGAGGUAGGCGGAAUGUGUCAUGUAGCGGUGAAAUGCUUAGAUAUGACACAGAACACCGAUUGCGAAGGCAGCUUGCUAAACUAUUAUUGACGCUGAGGCACUAAAGCGUGGGGAUCAAACAGG